rfam:Triticum aestivum genome assembly, contig: Triticum_aestivum_CS42_TGACv1_scaffold_648699_T
CAACUACUCCCUCUGUCCCAAAUUUCUUGUCUUAGAUUUGUCUAGAUACGGAUGUAUCUAAUACUAAAAUGUGACUUGAUACAUCCGUAUCUAGACAAAUCUAAGACAAGAAUUUUGGGACGGAGGGAGU